rnacentral:lncRNA from 1 species
AUGGCAGAACCGCACUUCUUUGCUUCAGGUGGACUGAAAUCACCGAGAACACUCCAGACUGACCGGUGCCAGCCCUGGACGCGGAGCACCUCAGCCCCUCUCACACGGUCCAAAGCUGGAGGUUCACCUGGCGGGCCUGAAGCGAGGGGUGCACGUGGGGUGACCUGCCCGGGGAAAGGGGUCAGGGGCGGAGAGGAUGUAGUCAAUGCUGAACUUGAUGUCCCUGUGCGCGUCCCUCCUCAGGACGGCAGGGCUGGCCGGGGUCGGGGGCUCGCUGCGGGGGACUGGGGGCUCAGGGGGCCCCGGGGGCGCCCCCGCAUCUCUCCCGCGCGCCCCCCUCGCCUCCUCGCCCUUGGGGCCACGCCGGCGCCGCCGCCGGCGGAAGUUGCCGUUCUCGAAAAGGUCCAGCAGCGACUCGCAGCCGCCGGCGAAGGUCCAGUAGUUGCCCUUGCCCUUCUCGUGGCCGUCGGUCCGCGGCACCUGUGCGGACGAGGGGCUCAGCGCGCGGCGGGCUCCCGGGGCGCCCCGCCCACCGCGCUCUCUUGGGGAGCCCCUGGCGGCCCCGGAAGGAUGCCCCGCCCUGGGGGUGGGCGCGUCCCUGGGGAGCUGGCGAAGGCUACGCGUGAACUUUGCAGCGCACGCCGCUGCAAAAUGCACCCCCACAGCCCAAUCAGGGGUGCCUUGGUCCAGGGGUCCACAGGCCUGGGACACUCAGGGGCCGCACGGGGGUGGGGGCCUCACCUUGACGAAGCAGCUGUUGAGGGACAGGUUGUGGCGGAUGGAGUUCUGCCAGGCGCGCUGGUUGGCGCGGUAGUACGGGAACCGGCGCAUGAUGAAGUCGUAGAUGCCGGACAGGGUCACCCUGCCCGUCGGGCUCUGCUGAAUGGCCAUGGCGAUCAGUGCGAUGUAGCUGCAAACAGCGGCGCUCAGGCCAGGCCGGGGCAGGGGAGGGACCCCGGGGCGCGUCUGCAUCUGGAGUCUCCGGGCCGCCCGGGGACCACUCCGCUCUCCCUUCCCCGGGGCACCGGGGAGCUGGGGGCGGAGGUGGUUGUUGGAGUCGGGGCCCCCUGGAGCUCCCAGCGCAACUCUGCGCAGACCAGGGAAGCUCACCUUCACACUUGGGGCUUCCCCGGGGAGGCUGGAGAACCUUCUCGGCUACCUCCCAACGUGCGGAUGAGAAGUGAGCCCUCCCGCGCCCGAGCUGGUCUUGGCCUCCUCUCGGAGGAGGGCCCCCGCGACCCCUGCGGCCCCGGCACGGCCCUGCGGUCACCUGUACGCUGGCCGCGUGAGCCGCUUCUCCUCGUCCGAGCUGCCCGCCGGGUAGUCGUCGGCGUCGUAAUUGAAACAAUUGUAGGGAUACUGCGAGCUGUCAAACAUCGCGGUGCGCCUGCCGCCUGCGGGUCGCCAGUGCUGCCGCCUCCUCCGCGCCGCCCGCCGGCGCGCUCCAGGACUGCGCGGAGGUUCUCCCCUGUGCGGACCAGCGGCGUCUGCGCUGCCGGCUGCUCUCCGCCUGAGCGGGGAACCUGGGCUCCCCGGGUCCCCCCGCCCGCCCCCACCCGUCCUCUCGCAUCCAAUCCCGGAGCGGGGGAGGCCCCUGUUGCCGGUAAA